GAUGAACGCUGGCGGCAUGCCUUAUACAUGCAAGUCGAACGGCCACACGGGUGCUUUCAUCCUCUGACGUUUGCCGCAGGGGGGAGUGUUACAUGUGGACAUGUUCCCUAUAGGACUGGAGCCCCUCCGAAACAGCGGUGAUACUACCGACUAACAUCUUAUGCAGCCUGGGGACCUAGUGACCGACGGCUUUGCUGUCACUUAUAGAUGGAUCAGCGCCGCAUUAGCUAGUUGGUAAGGUAACGGCUUACCAAGGCAACGAUGCGUAGCCGGCCUGAGCGGGUGAUCGGCCACACUGGGACUGAGACACGGCCCAGACUCCUACGGGAGGCAGCAGUGGGGAAUCUUCCGCAAUGGGCGAAAGCCUGACGGAGCAACGCCGCGUGAGUGAAGAAGGUCUUCGGAUUGUAAAACUCUGUUGUUAGGAAAGAACAAAUGGGUAAGUAUCCAGGCGCGUCAUGACGGUACCGAAACAGUAAGCCCCGGCUAACUACGUG
rnacentral:rRNA from 1 species